AGUGAACGCUGGCGGUAGGCCUAACACAUGCCAGUCGAACGGCAGCACAGUAAGAGCUUGUUCUUACGGGUGGCGAGUGGCGGACGGGUGAGGAAUACAUCGGAAUCUACUUUUUCGUGGGGGAUAACGUAGGGAAACUUACGCUAAUACCGCAUACGACCUACGGGUGAAAGCAGGGGAUCUUCGGACCUUGCGCGAUUGAAUGAGCCGAUGUCGGAUUAGCUAGUUGGCGGGGUAAAGGCCCACCAAGGCGACGAUCCGUAGCUGGUCUGAGAGGAUGAUCAGCCACACUGGAACUGAGACACGGUCCAGACUCCUACGGGAGGCAGCAGUGGGGAAUAUUGGACAAUGGGCGCAAGCCUGAUCCAGCCAUACCGCGUGGGUGAAGAAGGCCUUCGGGUUGUAAAGCCCUUUUGUUGGGAAAGAAAAGCAGCAGGUUAAUACCCCGCUGUCCUGACGGUACCCAAAGAAUAAGCACCGGCUAACUUCGUG
rnacentral:rRNA from 1 species